UUCCGGUUGAUCCCGCCGGACCUGACUGCUAUCGGAUUGAUACUAAGCCAUGCGAGUCAUUGUAGCAAUACAAGGCAUACGGCUCAGUAACGCGUAGUCAACCUAACCUAUGGACGGGAAUAACCUCGGGAAACUGAGAAUAAUGCCCGAUAGAACAUUAUGCCUGGAAUGGUUUAUGUUCCAAAUGAUUUAUCGCCGUAGGAUGGGACUGCGGCCUAUCAGUUUGUUGGUGAGGUAAUGGCCCACCAAGACUAUUACAGGUACGGGCUCUGAGAGGAGUAGCCCGGAGAUGGGUACUGAGACACGGACCCAGGCCCUAUGGGGCGCAGCAGGCGAGAAAACUUUGCAAUGUGCGAAAGCACGACAAGGUUAAUCCGAGUGGUUUCUGCUAAAGGAACCUUUUGUCAGUCCUAGAAACACUGAUGAAUAAGGGGUGGGCAAGUUCUGGUGUCAGCCGCCGCGGUAAAACCAGCACCUCAAGUGGUCAGGAUGAUUAUUGGGCCUAAAGCAUCCGUAGCCGGCUCUGUAAGUUUUCGGUUAAAUCUGUACGCUCAACGUACAGGCUGCCGGGAAUACUGCAAAGCUAGGGAGUGGGAGAGGUAGACGGUACUCGGUAGGAAGGGGUAAA
rnacentral:rRNA from 1 species